GUCAGGAGGGCCAGAAACUGCUAGGGUUCAAGGUUAAGAGGUUAUUUUUGCGUCUUGGAAGAACCUGUAGUUGUUUACAGCAGUAAACUUAAGAGGUGAAGCAGAUUAGUCAGACUUUUUACCGUAGGGGGGUUGUUAUUUGGAGGCUUGACCCCCCUUCCCUCCUCUCCUGUCCCCUCCCUUUAUGAUCAAGAUUAUUGCCCUAGAACCACGCCCCUGCCCCUCCCUUGGGUAAACUUGCAAAAAACCACAUCUAGUCAUAUCCUCUAGCUGUGUUCUUAGCACAGGAAUAAGAGUCUAACUGCAAGAAAACCGGUGCAAGCUGGUUCAGCUCCAAAAGUGGGACAAAGGUUGCCUUGCAGCCCAUUACUGUCUCAUUGUAACAGUAAGACCUCCACCCGCAGUGCCAUGAUGGUGCCACUGGCUUCCGACCUGGAUGCCAAUGGACCACACAAGGGCGCACCAGUUCCAGGAAGAACCCCGCCUCUUCCCAGAAAACCAAUACAUAUGCCUCCCCUUCAUUAACCUUGCUUUUAAUAUCUUGCCUUAAUUGCACCCAUGGAGAGGAGUUGAUUUUUGAACUAAGUUCUUGCUUCUCCAUACCCUGGUCCUUGAAUAAAGCUUGCACUGCUUCCAUCCCAGCUUAGGUUUUGUUUUUGGCUGCGUGAUUCUGAAGAGAAAAAAGAAUCACCCUGGCCAGGAAAGGGAGUCUUGGCUUGGGCUAGGACCCCAGUGGGGGGCCCAUAGGACCCAACUGGUGGGACCUUUCAGAGUGUAAUAGAGCCUGGGUGCAAGCAUCUCCUGGGCUGAAGGGUGUCCCCUGAUGCAUCCUCUCCACAUUAUUUAUUUAGUUAAUCCCGUGACACGUCUUCCUGGCAGUGAUUUGACGUGAUGUUUAUUUAACAUCUCUAUUUCAUCUCCUUUCAGGAGGAGUAAGCUUUAAGGAUGGAAAGCUUCAGGAGGACAAGGGAGAAUUUUCCAUUUCUUUUGUCAUUCUUUCAGAUCCUAGUAAGGGGCCCUGUGCAUGCUGGACCACUGGAUUUCCUUGUUAUAGACACUGGUUGGAGUCCUGAGUGAAUCAUCACACAGUGCUGACGGCUGACCCAGGAUCCAAUGGAGUGAACAGUCAACUAUGGACUGUGUUGCUCAACAGCUGAUGAGUGAGUGGUUGGAGUGAUUACGCCCACAGCCAAA
rnacentral:lncRNA from 1 species